rnacentral:rRNA from 1 species
CCCUUAGACGUUCUGGGCCGCACGCGCGCUACACUGACCAGUGCAACAAGCAUCCGUCCUUGGCCGACAGGCCCGGGCAAUCUUUGAACGCUGGUCGUGAUGGGGAUAGACUUUUGCAAUUUUUGGUCUUCAACGAGGAAUUCCUAGUAAACGCAAGUCAUCAACUUGCAUUGAUUACGUCCCUGCCCUUUGUACACCCCGCCCGUCGCACCUACCGAUUGAAUGGUCCGGUGAAGCCUCCGGAUUGGCGCGCACCUCGGUGCCGCCGAGAAGUUGGCUAAACCUUACCAUUUAGAGGAAGGUGAAGUCGUAACA